rnacentral:RNase_MRP_RNA from 1 species
CAUGUUUUCCCUGGAGAAACUCUCGAGACACAAAUGUGGAAAGUUUCUGAUGAAAAAAUUAUUUUCCAAGUUCGUAGUGUUGAACGGGAUGUUAUUGUUCUUGGUAAUGCUUGUGCUACUAUUUCUGUUGGUUCUGUUGCUGGCGGAGGUGCGGUUGGUGCUGC